rnacentral:rRNA from 1 species
AGAGUUUGAUCCUGGCUCAGGAUGAACGCUAGCGGCAGGCCUAACACAUGCAAGUCGAACGGUAACAGGAAAUAGCUUGCUAUUUUGCUGACGAGUGGCGCACGGGUGCGUAACGCGUAUACAAUCUACCUUUUGCUGAGGGAUAGCCCAGAGAAAUUUGGAUUAAUACCUCAUGGUAUUAUUGAUAGGCAUCUAUUAAUAAUUAAAGGUUACGGCAAAAGAUGAGUAUGCGUCCCAUUAGCUAGUUGGUGAAGUAACGGUUCACCAAGGCAACGAUGGGUAGGGGUCCUGAGAGGGAGAUCCCCCACACUGGUACUGAGACACGGACCAGACUCCUACGGGAGGCAGCAGUGAGGAAUAUUGGACAAUGGGCGAGAGCCUGAUCCAGCCAUGCCGCGUGCAGGAAGACUGCCCUAUGGGUUGUAAACUGCUUUUAUACAGGAAGAAUAAGCCUUACGUGUAAGGUGAUGACGGUACUGUAAGAAUAAGGACCGGCUAACUCCGUGCCAGCAGCCGCGGUAAUACGGAGGGUCCGAGCGUUAUCCGGAAUUAUUGGGUUUAAAGGGUCCGUAGGCGGAUGAUUAAGUCAGGGGUGAAAGUUUGCAGCUCAACUGUAAAAUUGCCUUUGAUACUGGUCAUCUUGAGUUGUAUUGAAGUAGGCGGAAUAUGUAGUGUAGCGGUGAAAUGCAUAGAUAUUACAUAGAACACCAAUUGCGAAGGCAGCUUACUAAGUACUAACUGACGCUGAUGGACGAAAGCGUGGGUAGCGAACAGGAUUAGAUACCCUGGUAGUCCACGCCGUAAACGAUGGAUACUAGCUGUUCGGAGCAAUCUGAGUGGCU